AAUGGCAGUGCUAGGUUUUAUAAAAAACGCAAGUGAGGACUUGAAGGAUGUGGCUUGUUCUGUUUGGACGAUGCAGGAUUGCUUUAAGCAGUAAGCUUACUGUUUUCAGAUGGCAUUAGCAGCAUCAGUGAUAUAGCUGUGUCAGCCUCCUCGACUGCUGGAUGUCUGUAAUCGCACGGAGGAAACUAUAUUUAAGAUCUGAUAUCUUGAGGGUAAUGACUCCAGCACUUACUGAUGGACAGAAUGGCUGUUAAUGCUUUCUUCACUAGCCCAGAAGAUUUUGAAAGAUAGAUAGGUCUGUGAUGUACUUUGAUAAGGCAGGAAAUGCAAUUUUUGGGGGUCUCUGGAAAUAGAAAGGUCAUGCAGCUUGGAACCGGUGAGACUUUACAGUCCCUAAGUCAUCAGAGAAAUGAUGAAGAGGCUGUUGUGGAUAGAGGUGGAACUCGCUCCAUUCUCAAGACACAUUUUGAAAAGGAAGAUCUAGAAGGCCAUCGAACAUUGUUCAUUGGGGUUCACGUGCCACUGGGUGGAAGAAAAAGUCACCGACGCCAUCGGCACCGUGGGCAUAAACACAGAAAGAGAGACAGAGAGCGAGAUUCAGGAUUAGAAGAUGGGAGAGAAUCUCCUCCUUUUGAUACCCCAUCACAAAGGGUGCAGUUUAUUCUUGGAACAGAAGAUGAUGAUGAGGAACACAUUCCUCAUGAUCUCUUUACUGAGCUUGAUGAAAUCUGUUGGCGUGAAGGAGAGGAUGCAGAGUGGAGGGAGACAGCAAGGUGGUUGAAGUUUGAAGAAGAUGUAGAGGAUGGUGGAGAGAGGUGGAGCAAACCCUACGUUGCCACACUGUCACUUCAUAGCUUGUUUGAGCUGAGGAGCUGCAUCCUGAAUGGCACAGUUCUUUUGGACAUGAGAGCUAACUCCAUAGAAGAAAUUGCAGAUAUGAUUCUGGACCAGCAGGUGGGUUCUGGGCAGCUCAGUGAGGAUGUUCGUCACCGGGUGCAUGAGGCUUUACUGAAACAGCAUCACCAUCAGAACCAGAAGAAGCUGAGCAACAGGAUCCCAAUUGUAAGAUCCUUUGCUGAUAUUGGAAAGAAGCAGUCUGAGCCCCAUUCCAUGGAUAAAAAUGCAGGUCAGGUUGUUUCCCCACAGGCUACUCCAGCCUGUAUUGAAAACAAAAAUGAUGUGAGCAGAGAAAACAGCACUGUUGACUUUAGCAAGGUUGACCUACACUUCAUGAAAAAGAUACCACCUGGAGCUGAAGCAUCAAACAUCUUAGUUGGUGAACUGGAGUUCCUGGACCGUGCUGUUGUGGCUUUUGUUAGGUUGUCUCCUGCAGUGCUGCUUACAGGACUGGCUGAAGUUCCAAUUCCAACCAGAUUUUUGUUUAUUCUUCUUGGACCGCUGGGUAAAGGACAACAAUACCAUGAGAUUGGAAGAUCAAUUGCCACACUAAUGACAGAUGAGGUAUUCCAUGAUGUUGCUUACAAAGCAAAAGACCGCAAUGACUUGGUGUCUGGAAUUGAUGAGUUUCUUGAUCAGGUUACUGUUCUCCCUCCUGGAGAGUGGGACCCAACAAUUCGAAUAGAACCACCUAAAAAUGUUCCCUCUCAGGAGAAGCGUAAGAUCCCAGGAGUGCCAAAUGGAACUGCAGCCCACGGGGAAGCAGAACAUCCUGGGGGACACUCUGGACCAGAAUUGCAACGCACUGGAAAAUUUUUUGGAGGAUUAAUUUUAGAUAUCAAAAGAAAAGCUCCCUUCUUCUGGAGUGACUUCAGGGAUGCUCUCAGUCUGCAAUGUCUGGCAUCAUUUUUGUUUCUCUACUGUGCUUGCAUGUCUCCUGUCAUCACAUUUGGUGGUCUGCUGGGAGAAGCAACUGAAGGUCGUAUAAGUGCAAUAGAAUCGCUGUUUGGAGCAUCCAUGACUGGAAUUGCCUACUCUCUUUUUGGUGGACAGCCUCUCACUAUACUUGGCAGCACAGGACCAGUUUUAGUGUUUGAGAAGAUCUUAUUCAAAUUUUGCAAAGAGUACGGGUUGUCAUACCUUUCUCUGAGAGCCAGCAUUGGGCUGUGGACUGCAAUCCUGUGCAUCAUCCUUGUUGCAACUGAUGCAAGCUCCCUAGUCUGCUAUAUUACCCGCUUUACUGAAGAAGCCUUUGCUUCUCUUAUCUGCAUCAUUUUCAUUUAUGAGGCCUUAGAGAAGCUGUUUCAUCUCAGUGAGACAUAUCCAAUCAACAUGCACAAUAACUUGGAGCUGCUGACAAAGUACUCAUGCAAUUGUGUGGAACCAGAACAUCCUAGCAAUAAAACCUUACAAUACUGGCAAGACUACAAUAUAUCUGCAUCUGAUGUACCAUGGGGGAACCUAACGGUGUCAGAAUGUAAAAAGUUUCAUGGUGAGUUUGUUGGACGAGCCUGUGGUCAUCACGGCCCUUACGUUCCAGAUGUCCUCUUCUGGUCUGUCAUCUUGUUCUUUUCUACAGUAACGCUCUCGUCCACACUGAAGCAGUUCAAAACCAGCCGAUACUUCCCAACAAAGGUACGCUCUGUUGUCAGCGAUUUUGCUGUCUUUCUCACUAUUUUGUCCAUGGUUUUAAUUGACUAUGCCAUUGGAAUUCCAUCACCAAAACUUCAGGUUCCAAAUGCUUUUAAGCCCACCAGAGAUGAUCGUGGCUGGUUCAUUACUCCUUUGGGGCCUAAUCCUUGGUGGACAGUGAUAGCUGCUGUAAUUCCAGCCCUGCUUUGUACUAUCCUAAUCUUUAUGGACCAGCAGAUCACAGCUGUCAUUAUCAAUAGAAAAGAACACAAACUAAAGAAAGGAUGUGGAUACCACCUCGACCUACUCAUGGUGGCAGUGAUGCUUGGAGUGUGCUCUAUUAUGGGAUUGCCGUGGUUUGUUGCAGCCACUGUCCUCUCUAUUUCCCAUGUGAACAGCUUAAAACUGGAAUCAGAGUGCUCUGCUCCAGGGGAGCAGCCAAAAUUUCUUGGAAUCCGGGAGCAAAGAGUCACAGGGCUCAUGAUUUUUAUCCUUAUGGGCUCAUCUGUCUUUUUGACAAGUAUUCUAAAGUUUAUUCCUAUGCCAGUACUUUAUGGAGUGUUUCUUUACAUGGGUGCUUCAUCUCUAAAGGGAAUUCAGCUUUUUGACAGGAUAAAGUUAUUCUGGAUGCCUGCAAAGCACCAGCCAGAUUUUAUUUAUCUAAGACAUGUUCCUCUUAGAAAGGUCCAUCUCUUCACUAUAAUUCAGCUGAGUUGUCUUGUGCUUCUCUGGAUUAUAAAGGUUUCAAGAGCUGCCAUUGUCUUUCCUAUGAUGGUCCUAGCUUUGGUAUUUGUCCGAAAACUUAUGGAUUUCUUUUUUACCAAGCGGGAGCUCAGUUGGUUAGAUGAUUUGAUGCCUGAGAGCAAGAAAAAGAAACUGGAAGAUGCUGAGAAAGAGGAAGAGCAAAGUAUGUUAGCAAUGGAAGAGGAAGGGACUGUUCAGUUACCACUAGAAGGACAUUACAGAGAUGACCCAUCUGUGAUAAACAUUUCUGAUGAAAUGGCAAAAACUGCUGUGUGGAAGACAUUGUUGAUAUCCUCAGAGAAUGCAAAAGAUAAGGAGUCAAGCUUUCCUUCUAAAAGCCUUGUGUAACUCAGCCUAUUUCUCAUUCAUUCUAGUUAAGGAAUUAUUCCCAUGAAACCUGUGCUGAAAUCAGAAAAGAGAAGAAAGCUGACUCAGGGAAAGGUGUUGACCGGGAGACUUGUCUAUGACUUGCUCUUCAAGUAAUUUUUUUACAAACAAAUUAAAGGAGUGCCACAACCACUAAAUAUAAAUUAUUUACCUUGUAACUUUUGUCUUUCAUCUCAAACUAGCACAGGUAAUGUAGUGCAAUACUUGUCUCAUUCCACCUUGUCUACCUUGUCUAGUAUCAAUGUAAAUGUCUGCAGUAGCCAAUGCAAAAAAUCUUUGUGUUCGUUGCUGAUCUUGGCCAUUUAUCAGUAGUCGUAUCAGAAAUGUAAUAAGCAAAUUUUCUUUCAAAUUCAACUUUCCUGUUAAUAGGUUUGUACUGUAUUUUGCUACUUUUUCUGUGUGAGAAUACUUAAUAAUCUUGAUUCAGAAUACUUAAUAAUCUUGAUUCAGGAUGAACUUGAAAACCCUUGUUCCAUUUUUUUUUUUUUUUUUUAAAUCACCUAACUACUAAAUUAUUUCAGGAGACCCAAACUGGCAAGCAAACAUUAAGAAGUUGAUAAAAUAACAACAGAUCUGACCCUGUGAAUAAACUAACAAGGAUAAUUCUUUCCUCCUUAAACUGUCCUUUUGAAGUCAUGGAUUACUUAUUUUACAAUGUGAAUUGCAGGGUCAGAUUCCAUAUUUAUGAAGUUUUCCUUGAUUUAAUACAGUGUAUUUAAUAUUAAAAUUUGUAUGUAACUGGAACAUAGUCCUAAAUAUAUAUAAAUAUAUAUAUAUAUAUAAAAUUAUAUAUAUUAAAACAUUUUCUCACCUUAGCUAAAGAACACCACCACACAUCCUUUGAUGUGAAACAUGGGUAUGGUAUUUCUUAAAAUGCGAUUUGUGAUUAAGGUAUCUUCUCUUGUAUUGUAUGAAUGUUGCCAUGAAAGGCCAAACAAAUGCAUUUUGUCAUUAAUCAAUACAUUAUUUUAUAACAGGGAAAAUUUUGUAGAUAAAAACUAUACCCCACAUGCAGUUUUAUCACCUGCCCAAUGAUCUUCCUCUUUACUGCCUAAAAUUUAGCCACAUAAAGGGCGUAUUUAUAUUGUCUUCUCUCCACUAACAACUGUAAACCUCUUCAUUUCAGAGAUUGUGUAUAAUACUUAAAUGGAUAUCCUGCUGUUGUUUUGUUACAGCUCUUUAUUAUUCCAUCAAGUACAUAUUGAUUAAGAGAUAAAAACAACCUUGAAACGUAAAAUGUCGCUUUAAGGCUAUUACAUUUUUCGUAAUGGAUUUUGUUACUGCCCGAUCCUUCAAGCUGUUCUUUUGUGUAAAGGACUGCGAGAUUAGGUGUUGAGUGGAUAGGAAUGUGGAGCUAAAGUUUUAUCAUGUUAUUUGGAAUUCACUGAUUUUUAAAUUUUUUAGGAUAAAUUUUUAAAUUAUUAAGAUGAAAGCUAACUCUAUUAUGCUGUAACUUUGAAUCCUCAAAAUAAGAAUUGUAGUCUUGCAAUCUUCGUAAGAACUCAUUCAUAGGGCUCUAACAUUCCCAAGCUUUCCCAAAUGAGCUAAUUUUCUAUACAACUUGUGAACAAGUUUUCCCAUUCAGCACAUUUAAAGUAUUCCAAUGUUUUUGUGUAUGUGAGUGUGUAUGUUUUAAUACUUUAGCCAUAAAUAAUUGCAUUUUGCUGCAAACUUAAUAGGGUCACUGUUUACCUUAAAUUUAAAUUUACCUUAGCAUUAUCAAAGCCCAUUAAAAGCCAUUUUUAUGGAGAAAAAAAAAAAUCUAAUGGACACGAAGAAGGAUUCACAUCUAAUUCAAUGUUUGUAUAUGUAAAUUUAGGAAAAAAAUGCUGAUGCAUUAAGGUUAAAUGCUUUGUUUUGUGUACUUGAUGAUAAAUUGUAAGAUUCCAAUUGUUUUAAGGUUAGUAUAGAAGCUCAAUACUGGUUUGUCCUGAAAGCAGCCUGAUGGUGUUUUAACAUGUUGCUGACUUUGUUACAGAUAAUGUAUACAAUCAAAAUGUAUUAGCUUCACUUGACCAACUCUUAGAAUAUUAAGAAAUCAGUGUAUUCAAUGGCAUUCUGUAUUUCUGUUCAGUAUUUCAGAGUGGUUUUAUUUUAAAACACUCUGGUUUUGCGUGAAUUUAAGUGCUUUUCCAAUGUUAAUCUUAACAUUCUGAAAUCAAACAAAAUAUAAAGCAGAUGUAGUGCUAUAUUUACUUCUAAUUUCAUAUUCCUGGUCAAAAUUACUUAAUUUCUUGGAUGUAAUUUAUUACAAAAGUUUAUGUGUACAUGUGAAUAGACUAUUGUGUUUUUCACAAUUAAGAAAUGUUAUGUGAAAAUAAAUAUUUAUCCUAACUAA